rnacentral:rRNA from 1 species
UGGGGAAUUUUGGACAAUGGGGGCAACCCUGAUCCAGCAAUGCCGCGUGUGUGAAGAAGGCCUUCGGGUUGUAAAGCACUUUUGUCCGGGAAGAAAUCCCCUGCCCUAAUACGGCGGGGGGAUGACGGUACCGGAAGAAUAAGCACCGGCUAACUACGUGCCAGCAGCCGCGGUAAUACGUAGGGUGCGAGCGUUAAUCGGAAUUACUGGGCGUAAAGCGUGCGCAGGCGGUGAUGUAAGACCGAUGUGAAAUCCCCGGGCUCAACCUGGGAACUGCAUUGGUGACUGCAUUGCUCGAGUAUGGCAGAGGGGGGUGGAAUUCCACGUGUAGCAGUGAAAUGCGUAGAGAUGUGGAGGAACACCGAUGGCGAAGGCAGCCCCCUGGGCCAAUACUGACGCUCAUGCACGAAAGCGUGGGGAGCAAACAGGAUUAGAUACCCUGGUAGUCCACGCCCUAAAACGAUGUCAACUGGUUGUCGGGCCUUCAUUGGCUUGGUAACGUAGCUAACGCGUGAAGUUGACCGCCUGGGGAGUACGGUCGCAAGAUUAAAACUCAAAGGAAUUGACGGGGUCAUAGCUG